ensembl:rRNA 5S_rRNA 5S ribosomal RNA
AUCUACAACCAUACCACCCUGAACGCACCUGAUCUCGUCUAAUCUCGGAAGCUAAGCAGGGUCGGGCCUGGUUGGUACUUGGGUGGGAGAAUUAGCUGUAGACCAAGUUGGUUUCAAAUU